rnacentral:rRNA from 1 species
UGGGGAAUAUUGGACAAUGGGCGAAAGCCUGAUCCAGCCAUGCCGCGUGUGUGAAGAAGGUCUUCGGAUUGUAAAGCACUUUAAGUUGGGAGGAAGGGCAUUAACCUAAUACGUUAGUGUUUUGACGUUACCGACAGAAUAAGCCCCGGCUAACUCUGUGCCAGCAGCCGCGGUAAUACAGAGGGUGCAAGCGUUAAUCGGAAUUACUGGGCGUAAAGCGCGCGUAGGUGGUUUGUUAAGUUGGAUGUGAAAUCCCCGGGCUCAACCUGGGAACUGCAUUCAAAACUGACUGACUAGAGUAUGGUAGAGGGUGGUGGAAUUUCCUGUGUAGCGGUGAAAUGCGUAGAUAUAGGAAGGAACACCAGUGGCGAAGGCGACCACCUGGACUAAUACUGACACUGAGGUGCGAAAGCGUGGGGAGCAAACA